rnacentral:rRNA from 1 species
CCUACGGGUGGCAGCAGUGGGGAAUAUUGCACAAUGGGGGAAACCCUGAUGCAGCGACGCCGCGUGAGUGAAGAAGUAAUUCGUUAUGUAAAGCUCUUUCAGCAGGGAAGAAAAUGACGGUACCUGUGUAAGAAGUAACGGCUAACUACGUGCCAGCAGCCGCGGUAAUACGGAGGGGGCAAGCGUUAUCCGGAUUGACUGGGUGUAAAGGGAGUGUAGACGGCAGUGCAAGUCUGGGGUGAAAGGCGGGGGCUCAACCCCCGGACUGCUCUGGAUACUGUACGGCUGGAGUGCAGUAGAGGUAGGUGGAAUUCCUGGUGUAGCGGUGAAAUGCGUAGAUAUUAGGAGGAACACCGGUGGCGAAGGCGGCUUACUGGACUAUAACUGACGUUGAGGCUCGAAAGCGUGGGGAGCAAACAGGAUUAGAUACCCGAGUAGUC